rnacentral:rRNA from 1 species
GUAGGUGGCAAGCGUUGUCCGGAAUUAUUGGGCGUAAAGCGCGCGCAGGCGGUUCUUUAAGUCUGAUGUGAAAGCCCACGGCUCAACCGUGGAGGGUCAUUGGAAACUGGAGAACUUGAGUACAGAAGAGGAAAGCGGAAUUCCACGUGUAGCGGUGAAAUGCGUAGAGAUGUGGAGGAACACCAGUGGCGAAGGCGGCUUCCUGGUCUGUAACUGACGCUGAGGCGCGAAAGCGUGGGGAGCAAACAGGAUUAGAUACCCUGGUAGUCCACGCCGUAAACGAUGAGUGCUAAGUGUUAGGGGGGUUUUCCGCCCCCCUUAGUGCUGCAGCUAACGCAUUAAGCACUCCGCCUGGGAGUACGGCCGCAAGGCUG